GCCACCGUGGACCAUGGUGGUCGUCCUCGCUCAAUUGUCCAUACCCGAUAUGACAAGAGGGAGACGGAGGUUCGACUCCUCCCGGUGGCA